rnacentral:tRNA from 1 species
GAGGGUAUAGCUCAGUGGUAGAGUGUGUGCCUAGCAUGCAUGAGGUCCCAGGUUCAAUCCCCGGUACCUCCA